rnacentral:rRNA from 1 species
GACGAACGCUGGCGGCGUGCCUAAUACAUGCAAGUCGAGCGAAUCGACGGGAGCUUGCUCCCUGAGAUUAGCGGCGGACGGGUGAGUAACACGUGGGCAACCUGCCUAUAAGACUGGGAUAACUUCGGGAAACCGGAGCUAAUACCGGAUACGUUCUUUUCUCGCAUGAGAGAAGAUGGAAAGACGGUUUACGCUGUCACUUAUAGAUGGGCCCGCGGCGCAUUAGCUAGUUGGNGAGGUAAUGGCUCACCAAGGCGACGAUGCGUAGCCGACCUGAGAGGUGAUCGG